rnacentral:misc_RNA from 1 species
AAAACAGACAUCUAUGGUAUCAGCAAUGGAUAGAACAUGCCCUAGAGGCAAUUAUGAGGCCGAAAUGACGUUUUAAUGCAAGAUGCAUCUAAGAUUAAUUUGCAGAAGUCAUCUGCUUAACUACUGCAAAACACUCUGUCAAGAAAUUAUGAAGCACUGAUAGAUAUAUGUCUGGGAAAGUUCGGUAGUGAUCCACAUGAGGGGAUGACCCAAAAUUAUAGGAUAGUACUUUUCUCCCCAUCUUCCUUUGGUCCUCGAUCAGUGACUCUACUGAUUGAUAUGGAACAACCUUAUCGGCUGUGCUGUAUAGGUAAAGCUGAGGACAAGAGGGUUGGUCCUUUGAGAGGUCGGAGACAAUCUUCUUCAACUUUUGAUCCACAUCAGGCAACUUCAGCACUACAGAGAAUAGCUUCUCCAAUACUGAUAGAACCAUGGCUUCAACUAAUGGUGGUUCCUUUUCCUGAAUCUCGGACUCACAGUCUUGACUUUCUAAUUCACUUAUUUCUUUGGCCUCAACCAAAGGCUGUGCUCCAGAGCUGUGUUUCUUCAACAAAGCAGCAGAAAAUCCAGCAGCCCAGACCUUAGGAUUAAAGGGGUCGCCUCCUCCUGAAUCAACAACACAUCCUUUGAUCUUCUCCUUAAGGUCCUCUCUUCCUUGCAGCAUGUCAAGAAUGUAACCAUACCUGCAAGUAAGAAGAAGGAGAAGAAGGAGGAGUUACCAUCUCUCGAAUUGCAAGACCAGAAAAAAAAAAAUACUGCGCAAUAGAAUACCAAAAUCAAUUAACCUACACAAACCAACCGGUGUUGCUAAAAGUGUGAAAAAACAAACACUGUUCUCUACCAUCUUCCUGUCUCUCUGAAACCCACGAAAUGAGCUCGUUUACCAAAGCAGCUAUCCGCUUCUCAACUCUCUCCCCGAAAUCAAACCCAAACAACUCUCCCACUCCAACAACGAAUGUAAUAGCGUUAAUCCCUCUUGAAUUGUACCACUCAACGUACUUCUUUAGAUGUUUCUGCUUCGCUCCAAGCCAACCCAACAACACCACAGUCACAACUGGGUCUUUGGCACCCAAAGCACCGAUGAUGCCACUCUCCGGAGCUCGGUGCCAAGCGAAAACACCGUCGUUUGGAUGAAAUUUGAAACUGAAAUUGGAAUAAUUACUUGGAAUCAAUGGGUUCAAGAGGUGCGGAGAUGAAAGAGAGAGAACGAAACUCCUGGGGUUUGGAUUUGGAGUGAUGGGUGUACGAGAAACGGGUGAAAAGGAAGAGUGAAUGCGAGAAAGAGGAAGGGAAGCUGUUGAAAUGAAGUGGAUUGGGCGAUGGUGUUGAGGGCUCAACGAUCGAUAAGGAAUGAGAGGGGACUGCAGAAAAUUUCUCGGUGUAUUGAGGAGCUGGCGAUUGAAGAUUCUCACCUGAAUUUCCAUGGCGGAUUUUCAAUUUUCAAAGGCCCGAGCGGAGAAAUCCCACGUUUUUGUUUCGGUUUAAAAAGGGCUAGUUACUGGAAUUUUGAAAAUUAUACUCUCUCUCCGUCACCCUCAACCCACAACCACUGUCCCCGUCAUUGCUUCCGGUGGCAGAGAUUGUGGUUGGGGGGUGCCACGGGGCCACUUCCCAUCUAGACUUCCAUCCAAUCUAGGCCAACUUACUCAUAUUUAGGAUUUUUUU